AAUGGGGGAAACCCUGAUGCAGCCAUGCCGCGUGUGUGAAGAAGGCCUUCGGGUUGUAAAGCACUUUCAGCGAGGAGGAAAGGUGGCUAGCUAAUACCUAGUUGCUGUGACGUUACUCGCAGAAGAAGCACCGGCUAACUCCGUGCCAGCAGCCGCGGUAAUACGGAGGGUGCAAGCGUUAAUCGGAAUAACUGGGCGUAAAGCGCACGCAGGCGGUCGGAUAAGUCAGAUGUGAAAGCCCCGGGCUCAACCUGGGAACUGCAUUUGAAACUGUUCGACUAGAGUCUUGUAGAGGGGGGUAGAAUUCCAGGUGUAGCGGUGAAAUGCGUAGAGAUCUGGAGGAAUACCGGUGGCGAAGGCGGCCCCCUGGACAAAGACUGACGCUCAGGUGCGAAAGCGUGGGGAGCAAA
rnacentral:rRNA from 1 species